UCCCUGGCAGUCCAGUGGUUAGGAUACGGCACUUUCACUGCUGGGGUCCUGGUUCGAUCCCUGGUCGGGGAA